rnacentral:rRNA from 1 species
CCGCAUAUUCCCCUCACGCGAGCGAACGACCAGGCCUCCUUCCCGAGCGCGACAGCUAGGGUUCCAAGCCGCCGCCGGCCCGCCCGCGGCGCGUCCAGCUGGCCGAAGCCUCCGCCGCCCCGCCGCCCAGCCGCCGGUACCGGAGCUCCCGCCCAGCAAGGCCGCCGUCCUGGAGCUACGCUGCCUUCCAGUCCAUAGGCAGUGCAUCAACAUUCUCAAUUGAAGAGGUUUGGAGCUGCUUCGGCAUCCUCAGGAGAACAAACAAGAAGUUGCUACUCCACCGUCGCAGGAAGGGGCAGACCUCACCUGGAUUCGUACAGCCUGGAUUAAGCAGGACCAGUUCAUUAUCGGUUUAUACAGAAAAUUCUGAUUGUAGAAGACAAUAAUGAGCUGCCGCCGCUUUGUUAAUAUGGUUGUUGACACCGUCAUUGGUGACCGCCAUGCCUACGCUCUUCACUGCAUCAAUAUGUCGGGCUUAUUUUACCCAACCAAGCCAACAACAACACAGCUAGGAGGAGCAGAUGCAAAAGAUGGUAAUACGGUUGAGUCCAGUGAGCUGCCUCGCCCUGCCAUGUCCUUCUACCCCUGCCGAAAUAACGGGGCUCCGGUCGGGAGUGUGGAAUUCAUGCCCGUCAGCAGAGACAAGAACGACAUCCUCACCAUCGACCAGGAUGGCCGAACCUUGAUGUACAGUGUUGCCUCACGUGCCUUCCACAUCCUACCGCCACUGCAGACACCCAUAUGGGAGCCUACCUCCGUGAUCGCUGGUGGCAAGCUCUAUGUGAUGAAAAGCUCCCCCUUCCCCACCACCUCCCACUGCUUUGAGGCUCUCAUCUAUGGCCACCACCCUGGAAUCGACUAUCUCCCAGAGUGCUGGUACUGGCGUUCUCUCCCACCGCCUCCCUUCAGGAACAGCAACCAUCGUCUCGAUGACAACCAAUUUAUUGGUGGAGGCUAUGCAGAUGAGGAUGGCGACCUAUCUAGAGUCACUGCCUACACGGUUGUGAAUGAUUUAGAUAUCUGGGUGUCACAGGGUGGAACGACCUACUCCUUUGACACGGUGAGCAGUGCAUGGACCAGUUUUGGAGAGUGGACGCUGCCAUUCCGAGGCCAUGCUGAGUACAUCCCGGAGAACAAGCUCUGGUUUGGCUUGUCAUCUGAUGGGGACUUGCUUUGCACCUCUGACCUCAGUAGCACGUCAAGGCCUCCUCAGCUGCACAAUCUGUGGAAGGAGCUAGCGCCACCUAAGGAAUGGUUCCUUCACAACUCCUACCUUGUGCACUUAGGCUCUGGCAAGUUUUGCAUCGCCAAGUUCUUUGAGACAGGUCGGAUAUCCAACACUCAGUACAAUGAGAGGUUCGCAGUGCUCACCGGCGUGGAGGUGAAGCGCUGUGGCAAGCAUGGAACAGAGCUCCGGAUGGUCAAGCACGGGUCCAGGCGCUAUAGCCUGAACAAACAAUCUUACUUCCGGGUAUUCUAGCUGAAUGGUGAAUUAGAGGUGGAACGCGGCAACAAUGUUUGGCAGAUAGAUGGCUCUACAGCCUGAACUACCAAUAUUUCUUUCAGGUAUCAACAAUAAAUCAGUCGAGCUGGAGAGGGAACAUUUCUCAGGUAUAUUACAUUAUAUGUUAUAUCAAUGGUAUAUGUUCUGAGUCGUUGCUAGUACGAAUUGCUUGGAUCGAACCUUGUAUCCUGUAGUUUCUGUGCUACUCUUCAGUUCGGUGUGCACAAUCUGAUCGCUUGUAACUGAAGGUUGUUAAUGUAUAAAGUGAUCAAUUUCGGAUUUGACAACUUUCUCUUUACCACUGUUUCAAGAAACGCUUCUCGUUUUUGGCCAUGAUGAUAGUGUUAUUAUUUUUGGACUGGGAUG